GAACAAAGCGUACGGGGUCUGUUGAAAGAGCUUUCGUAAUGAAGACUGUCUUUCUCUUCGUCAUUCUGUCUAUUUCUAAACUGCUGUUUCUCAAAAACACGGAAGCAGACAACGAAGCCUGUCUCAUAAACACGCUCUUCCGAACGGUUUCUGAAUUGCAAGCGACUCUGAAGGUAUAUGUAUAUGCAUAAGGAAAACAUGCACAUGAAUACAUGUUUGCCCUCUAUGGCGUGUCGUUUCUGCCGAAACAAGUGACUAUAGCGACUAUUACUCAUCGUACAAGUGCAUAGUGACGUUUAGUCUAGGUUAGCUGUUUCUGUCAAAACAGUGUGUAAUGACGUUUGGUUCUAAAUUUGCAUUGUAGCAAGUGCCUAUUGAUGUUUGGUUAUAGAGUUAUACAUCAUAGCAAGUACUUAGUAACUGUUGGUUCUACAGUGCGUUUCAGUCCUCUGAAUUUUCAACUUAGCUUGCUAAAGAAAGGUCG